UGAACGUGGCUACUGUGCCAGCUGGUGGAUCGCUCGGCUUGAGAGCUGAUGAAGGACGUGCCAAGCUGCGAUAAGCCUGAGGGAGCCGCACGGAGGCGAAGAACUCAGGAUCUCCGAAUGGGAAUCCCCACCGCAAUUG
rnacentral:ncRNA from 1 species